CCCGGAGCAAGUAGAUGAAGACGAAGAACCUCCGCUGGAUUUCAAUGCCCUCAUAAAUGAAGCCGGAUUAUUAGACAACAUAGAUGAUCCUAUUUAAUGAUACAUUAGGCGUUCGUGUAAGAUGAUUAUAUGUAAUUAGUCUUCCUAAUUAUGAGACAUCAUUUUCUAAAUGUUCCACAUGACAAGAGACCGAGUGUCGCUGAAUGCUGUCCCUUCUUUUUAUUUUAAGCUACAAAACAACAUUCAACACCUUCGCACUCGACUCAUCAUAAUAAAACCUCUAUGCUACUACUCUAAACUUGUAUAAAGAAUCUCAGGCAGCCGUACUUUA